rnacentral:lncRNA from 7 species
GGGGAUGUCUGCUGUGUGAUUGUCCCAAAGCUUCCUGGGCUGAUGGGAAGCCCUGAGGAGCAUCGGGACCUGCAGAGAACCUCCUCCUGACUGAGGGAGAAACCAGCUAGAAACGUUGAGGCAGAGAGAAAAGAGAUUCCUCCACAGCACAACCUGAGGAGUAAAAGGAGCGUGGAGCAUUUAGUGUUGUUUGCCAUCCUGAGCAGAACCCCACCCUGCUUCACUUGUUACUGCAACGGGUAUUCCCAGCUGUCUCUGAAAAGAGCAGAUUUGAUCCUUUGCAAACCUUGUGUGUAUCGGACCACGCGUUGGCGCACGAAGAAACCAAACAGCCACAGGAGCGCCUCUGGUAUUCAGGCAGCCAUUACAAUGCCCUUGGAGCAUCUUUAGCUCUUAGAAAUGAAGCCCAGUGCUGAUGCCAGAAAACAUCCUGGGCUUGAAUGUGCCCUUACUUGUGCAGGGCUGGCAGCAGUCCAGCACACAGCUCUCUGCGCUCCGGUGGUGUCUCCAGGAGUUAACCAGGGGGAAGGCGGAUGGAUGGCAAAGAAUUUGCUCAGGGGUAGGGCAUCUUCCUAUGCCUUCCCUUCUUGCUGCAGCCACUUUCAAUGUAAGAAAUAGAGAUCAUGUGCCUGAAGUCAUGCUUUAACCAGUAUUUAUCCCACCAGUGCUGAUGGAGUAUGAGCAGUGGAGGUAUAACUUGAAUGAAUGGCUGAAGGAGUUCUUCAACCACCCUGAACCCCUGUGGAGAAACUCUUGGCAAUGGGUACCCUUGACACUGUUUCUCUUACUGUACAUAAAUGACAAUUUAGGUUAAUGUUUACCAUAGGUAAAGCCCUGAGAGUCCCAUUAAGCUUUCUUUGAAAUGGAAAGGAGCAGAAACCCUAGCCUUGAACCAAAGAAACUCACUGUACUUGUGUCAUCUUUCUCUAUUCUUGUAUCUGGGUCCCUCAUUCUGCACCACUUCGCUCAACGCCAGGGAGGUAUGAAGUGUAAAAGACUCCUGAUUCUAAAAAAAAGAUAGAAAUAAACAAAAGUUUGAAAACACCCAAAGGCAGCUGAGAAAGGCUCCCCCAAAUUCAGCAGUUUUCUACAUCAGUGCCAUGUAGCUUUUGAUCUGCGGGUAGCGCCGUGUUUGGAAGAAGCCAAGUCAAUCAACACCCACUUUUCACAGUGAGUCACAACUGGUGUCAGAUCCUGGUCUGUGCCUGGUGCCAGAAGGUAUUCUCAUCUGAAUGGGGAGCGUGCCAUGCCAAGCUGCAGAAUCACUUGUUUCCCAGACGUGGCCCUAAAUUAUCCACUCUCUGCCAAGUCUAGGAGAUGGAAAGCUAUGUUGUAUCACGAUAAGGUUUUUUUUCCUCCCCAUUUAGUUAACACCUCUCUGAAGGUGCCUGCUGUUCUUCUGCAUUCCCUAUGCUCAGGCUAGCAGAGCAACAGGAGAUUUGGGUCACAUCAGGUCCUCGACCAGGUUUUUGUUUAUCCACUUCCUUUGGCCAACACUACAUGCU